GCCAGCAGCAUACCACCCAGCAUCCCACUGUUGGCUUGCUUCUGAAGCUAAGCAGGGUUGGUCCUGGAUGGGAGACCAGAUGCUGCUGGAA
rnacentral:rRNA from 1 species